UUUCUGUUGGAGAUCCCUGUCUAUCUUAGAUCUUCUGAAGCAGAAAAAUGCAUGCGGAUUGCCAGUGAGAGAAGAGUAAUUUAGUACGCUGGUGAAGGAAUAAAAGCAACACUGAUCUCAGAGGUGUGAACCAUGCUCACAGGAUGGUGGUUGUGCAGCAGGUCAAUGUAUUUUUGAAACCUCCUGCAGAAUAAUGUUGCAGGGAUAAAUUUCUUGCUUCAGUGAUGAAGAUAGAUUAGAAUGACUGUUCUUGGCCUAUUUUAUUAAAUGGUUUUCCUACGGUUUGCAUCAUCAACUGUUCUGCUAGAAGAAAAUUUGUGGCAUUUCCUUUCAGCAUCAUGUGUUCUACAGAACAGGAGUUCUGACUACCUCCAUUAUGAUGUUCUUUCCUCAUUGCCUGCAUCUUAUCAGCCCCUGGGCUGCAGGCAGAAAAAAGUAGACCCCCUGGGCUGAUCUGAAUGCUGUCAUUCAUGAUAAAAACAUACAAGGAUUUCCUGAGGGCAUGGUCAAGCUAUGGGAUGGAGCAUGGAGAUCUCCAUAGGCAAGUGAAGCAAAGAAAGGAAUUGCAUGACAGUUUGUUGGAACGCAAUAUCUGUUCUUUGUUUUCAGAGUUUUCUGUAUUGGCUUCUCAGUACCAUUUAUUAUGUGCAGUAUGUCAUUAAUAAUAAAAAAGUUUUCCAU
ensembl:lncRNA